CAGUUUGCUGAAGAUGGAAACCUACUUUGUGAAAAUGAUGGAUCUUGAAAGGGGGCUUCUACCAUUGAUCCACAGGAUUCUGAACAACGGGCCCAAAACUGAGCAGAGGUUGGAGAUAGAGCUUUACCAGUAUUGAGCAGAAGAGGACGCUUACUUGUAGUAAGAAAAGAGUGGAGCUC